CAAAACACCAAUCUGCAAAGGAUAUCUCAUUUUAUCGAGAAGAUUGCGACCUGCAAAGAAAGCCAGUAUUUUGAAAACUGAGUUUUAGAUUAUCGAAAUAGGGCGAAAUAAGGCAAAUCCUUUUAAGUAUUGGCUGCCUGAAGGAAGGAGUAGACUCAGGGCUGCUCCAACUGCGCUGUCGAAGAGACAUGCUGAUGGUUCAUUGCCAAUUGAAGAUUUCAACAUAGUACUUGAAAAUCAGAGUGGGAAGAAAGUACAAAUGGGAUCGGAGAUUGAUCAGCGGGCAAUCAUGAUGAGC